rnacentral:rRNA from 1 species
UUGGAGGGCAAGUCUGGUGCCAGCAGCCGCGGUAAUUCCAGCUCCAAUAGCGUAUAUUAAAGUUGUUGCAGUUAAAAAGCUCGUAGUUGAACUUCGGAAUCAAUGGAUUGGUCAUGCCGUUGGUAUGUACUGGUCAUAUUGGUUCUCACCUUCUAAGGAACCAUAAUGUCAUUCAUUUGAUGUUUUGGGGAAUUAGGACUGUUACCUUGAAAAGAUUAGAGUGUUUAAAGCAGGCUAACGCUUGAAUACAUUAGCAUGGAAUAAUGAAAUAGGACAUCGCAUUCUAUUUUGUUGGUUUCUAGGAUCGAUGUAAUGAUUAAUAGGGAUAGUUGGGGGCAUUAGUAUUCAAUUGUCAGAGGUGAAAUUCUUGGAUUUAUUGAAGACUAACUACUGCGAAAGCAUUUGCCAAGGAUGUUUUCAUUAAUCAAGAACGAAAGUUAGGGGAUCGAAGACGAUCAGAUACCGUCGUAGUCUUAACCAUAAACUAUGCCGACUAGGGAUCGGAUGAUGUUGAUUUUUUAAUGACUCAUUCGGCGCCUUACGGGAAAC